AGAGUUUGAUCCUGGCUCAGAUUGAACGCUGGCGGCAUGCCUUACACAUGCAAGUCGAACGGCAGCACGGGGGCAACCCUGGUGGCGAGUGGCGAACGGGUGAGUAAUACAUCGGAACGUGUCCUGUAGUGGGGGAUAGCCCGGCGAAAGCCGGAUUAAUACCGCAUACGCUCUACGGAGGAAAGGGGGGGAUCUUAGGACCUCCCGCUACAGGGGCGGCCGAUGGCAGAUUAGCUAGUUGGUGGGGUAAAGGCCUACCAAGGCGACGAUCUGUAGCUGGUCUGAGAGGACGACCAGCCACACUGGGACUGAGACACGGCCCAGACUCCUACGGGAGGCAGCAGUGGGGAAUUUUGGACUAUGGGGGCAACCCUGAUCCAGCAAUGCCGCGUGUGUGAAGAAGGCCUUCGGGUUGUAAAGCACUUUUGUCCGGAAAGAAAACGCCGUGGUUAAUACCCGUGGCGGAUGACGGUACCGGAAGAAUAAGCACCGGCUAACUACGUGCCAGCAGCCGCGGUAAUACGUAGGGUGCAAGCGUUAAUCGGAAUUACUGGGCGUAAAGCGUGCGCAGGCGGUCC
rnacentral:rRNA from 1 species